rnacentral:misc_RNA from 1 species
GAUGAAGAACGUAGCGAAAUGCGAUAAGUAGUGUGAAUUGCAGAAUUCAGUGAAUCAUCGAAUCUUUGAACGCACAUUGCGCCCCUUGGUAUUCCAUGGGGCAUGCCUGUUCGAGCGUCAUUUGUACCUUCAAGCUUUGCUUGGUGUUGGGUGUUUGUCCCUCGGGACUCGCCUUAAAGUCAUUGGCAGCCAGUGUUUUGGUCUUGAAGCGCAGCACAAGUCGCGAUUCAAGGCUAUCCGCCCGCUUCCACAAGCCUUUUUCACUUUUGACCUCGGAUCAGGUAGGGAUACCCGCUGAACUUAAGCAUAUCAAUAAGCGGAGGA